UCUCUCUCUCAUGGCAAUGGCAGGUGCACUGGUGGAAGAGAGAAAAGGGGCUUCCUUUACCAACUCAUGGCAAAGGAAGGAGCACCAGUCCUGGUGCUGCUCCAGAUGGCAAAAUGGGCUGUAGUCAGAAACUCAGAGCAGCAGGCCAGAACAGCAGAGUUGAGCGCACCCCAAAACAGCAAACAAAGUGUAGCAAAAACUCCGAAGCCAUCGCAGGAGCCUCAGGGGUGGACACAGGGUGUCAGAUUGAAGUGUAGCAAAAAAAAUAAAGCAGCAUCUGAAAACAGCGGGUCUGGGCAGUGGCAUCUUGGCUCCCCAGCACUUCCCACUGGGAAGUGCUCCCUCCGGAAGUGGGAAGGGGUUGGGGUCCGGGGUUUUCCCCUGAGGCACGCAAGUAGAUGAUGAGUGUCCUUUCCAGUGAUGUCAAAUGUCAACAAGUUACCAGUUCAACAGGUGCUCUUAUGAGCAAAGCCUCGCUCACGGCAGGAGAAGCAGAAAAGGAUGGAACUCCAGCAGCAGUGAAUUCUGCCCACAGCAACAGCAGCACCAUAUCACCCCCAGAACAAAGAGCAAGAGAGAGUGAAGCUGAGUCCAGCCCCUCAGCCCCUAGCCAAAAUCUUGCAGUAUCCUCUACCCUUCCUAAAAGAAAGCCCCCCCAGGCAACAAAUAGGAGAAAAUUCCCUGAGUGAAAGAAAGAAAAAACGGGAAAAGUCCUAACCUCCAAUACUUGCGUAAGAGGUGAAGGGUCACAGUGCAGAGAAUUGCUUCGGAACAUCAUCAUUUUGAUCAUGAAUUGGAUAAUAAGUUCAACCUCCUAGAUGAUAAUAAUUGUGUCUAGUCUCAGAGUUCAGCAGGUUUCUUCUUGGUGAUCAAGAUAUUUCUACCAACGCCUUAGCCCCAGCUCCUCAAUGCAUUUUCUAUUUUCAAUACAAAUACAAGUGUGUGAUGUUUGCUAAAGCAACUUUGUAGGUGAUCACCUGAGAGAAGACCACAUGACUUUGGGGAGCUGCAGGACAUAAUACUGAUCAUAGGAAGAAAUGUAUGUAAAUAAAUCCAAACUACUUGUUUCAUCCCAGCAAAUGAAUAAUCCCACAGGAAAAGGAACAUCCAGAAACGUAUUCAGGGUAUAUUACAGGGUAUGUAAAGAAAUCUGGUUUAUGGUGACCCAGGUAAAAGAAAAAAGUCUUCAGGUCUUUUGUUUUAAACUCUGUUGUAGAUGGGCUUCUUUUAAUUCCACCUGAAUUAUCUGGAUGGUCUUUCAUGUAAUUAGUAUGUCAAACAUUACUGGUUCUUUAAAUUAACAAGAUUAGCUUGGAUAUAAUAUAUAAUAUAAUAUGGAUUAUAUUGACAUGAGAAAAACCUUUAUGAAAAUUUUAUAGGAAGAAAAACUCCCCAAAGAAAUACUUUCCCAGGCUCCUUUAGUUUCCAAGUUGAGUGUGUACUGGGAGGAGGCUUCAAAAUGAGUCAAAACAUGUACAAAACCAAUAAAAAAAUCAUCCUUUAGGGAAGUCUGAUUAUUGUUUCACUUUUGAUAAUUACUCAGACUUCUUUGUUGUUUUUAGUAUGACACACACCUCUUUUCUCCACUGAAAUUUCUAUGAACAUAAAACAAAAGAAUUUUCUGCAAAAGUUUCUACUAAAUAUUUCUCAAUGCUGGCCUCUCUAUAUUUCAUUAAAUGGUUGCCAUGACACAGGGCUUCCCUGGUUUUCCAGUCAAUACUGAGUGAAUUUAAAAACAUGAUGGAAAAUCAGAUCAUCUCAGUAAUUUUUGAAAUAAGUAGCCUGGAGCCUCACACAGACUUCUCAGGACUUCUUUUUUCCUCCCUUUUUUAUUAAUUAUCCUCUGGUGUGCCCUUUUUCUAAAUUUUAAGUCUGCUUUAAAUUUAUUCUGAAGUCUCUGGAUUAGGUUGAAUGGUGUUUAAAGAUUUGAUUUAGUUUUAAGAGUGUCUGUCAUAAUUUUGUUUUCUGUUUCUUUGAAUUUCCCACUGCCCCAUUAUGCAGUUCCCUGUUGCCCUAUUCAGCAAAGAACAACAUUACGGGUUAGAGAACACUGAAGAACUCCAAAGUUGGGGACUACAGUAUUUGAUAGUUCCUCACAGUUUUCUUUUUAAUCUGCUUUUUCCCUUGGGGUUUAUUUUCCCCCAGAACUUUUCCAAGAAAAUUAUUAUCCACAUUGAUUUGGAGAGAUUUUUAUUUGUGUCAAACAAACUUGUUUUUAAAGAGUCUUAAAAAAAAGAAAAAAUCAAGCUAUGCUAACAAAUACAGCCUUUGUGCAAUUUUUGUAGACAUGUGUUGUCUGUAAUCAGUGCUUUUACGUUAAUCAGAAAUAAAAAUCUGUUUAUGAUGCUGAGGGAAUUAAAGCUCUGAAGAGAUUGUUUUAGUUCUCUUUAUUUAUGAUGAUUUGUUAGCUCUUGACUGCAGAAAUAAUUUUGUUGCUUACAUUAAUCUGUGGUGACAGUAUUAACUUCACAUCAUACAUAAAUAUAAUUAUUGAUCAUUACCAGCUGUAAUUCAGUGUUAGAAUUACACAUUUACAUAAUUGUGCUAUUAGGUGUAAACUUGAAUUUCAUAUCUGGGGUCACAAAUAACUGGAGGCAGUAGAAACAGAAAACUCUGAUUAUAUGUCAUUCAUAUUUUAAUAUAUGCUGUUGCAAUUUUGAUCAAUGUUAAUGUAAAUAUUUUUAUGUACUAUACAGCAAUGAGAUGCUAAUGGCUAGAAAUUACAGCAAUAUUGAUCUAGCUAAUAAAAUGGAAUGCAUUAGUAAGAGAGGAUAUUUAUUAUUUCCUCCAAAAACUACUACACAUCAUCUACCCAUGGAAAAUUUCCUCCAUCAAAGAUUGAGAUGACAUUCUGGAAAUGGUGUAAAGCUCUUCUCAAAAAUCAGUCACAGGUUAUCUUGUCUUUUCUGCCAGCAGCUUUUUCACUGAUAAAGGUUCACAGCGAGAAACAAGCUAAAUAAAGGGAUUCACUUCUGUAAUACAUUCUCUUCUCCUCAUGUAAUCUGCACAUAAAAAGACACUCCAGAAAGAAC